UACGUAAGGUGCAAGCGUUGUCCGGAAUUAUUGGGCGUAAAGAGCUCGUAGGCGGUCUGUCGCGUCGGCUGUGAAAACCCGGAGCUCAACUCCGGGCCUGCAGUCGAUACGGGCAAACUGGAGUACUGCAGGGGAGACUGGAAUUCCUGGUGUAGCGGUGAAAUGCGCAGAUAUCAGGAGGAACACCGGUGGCGAAGGCGGGUCUCUGGGCAGUAACUGACGCUGAGGAGCGAAAGCGUGGGGAGCGAACAGG
rnacentral:rRNA from 1 species